CAUGCAAGUCGAACGAAGCACUUUAUUUGACUUCCUUCGGGACUGAUUAUUUUGUGACUGAGUGGCGGACGGGUGAGUAACGCGUGGGUAACCUGCCUUGUACAGGGGGAUAACAGUUGGAAACGGCUGCUAAUACCGCAUAAGCGCACAGCAUCGCAUGGUGCAGUGUGAAAAACUCCGGUGGUAUAAGAUGGACCCGCGUUGGAUUAGCUAGUUGGUGAGGUAACGGCCCACCAAGGCGACGAUCCAUAGCCGACCUGAGAGGGUGACCGGCCACAUUGGGACUGAGACACGGCCCAAACUCCUACGGGAGGCAGCAGUGGGGAAUAUUGCACAAUGGGCGAAAGCCUGAUGCAGCGACGCCGCGUGAGCGAAGAAGUAUUUCGGUAUGUAAAGCUCUAUCAGCAGGGAAGAUAAUGACGGUACCUGACUAAGAAGCACCGGCUAAAUACGUGCCAGCAGCCGCGGUAAUACGUAUGGUGCAAGCGUUAUCCGGAUUUACUGGGUGUAAAGGGAGCGCAGGCGGUGCGGCAAGUCUGAUGUGAAAGCCCGGGGCUCAACCCCGGUACUGCAUUGGAAACUGUCGUACUAGAGUGUCGGAGGGGUAAGCGGAAUUCCUAGUGUAGCGGUGAAAUGCGUAGAUAUUAGGAGGAACACCAGUGGCGAAGGCGGCUUACUGGACGAUAACUGACGCUGAGGCUCGAAAGCGUGGGGAGCAAACAGGAUUAGA
rnacentral:rRNA from 1 species